rnacentral:lncRNA from 1 species
GAGCUUGACGGGCCUGGCCCCGCACAGACUCCACAGAUGCACUCCGGUAAGUGCACGUCCACGGCCCACAUGGGAGCAGAGCGCACACCGAUCUUUCCACGUGACAGACUUUCAAGAUUGGCUCGCAGGAGGAGCUUGACUUCUGUUUGGACGUUCCUGUGGUCUGAACAUCACACCCUUCAGGAGGCAGUAGUGGCACAUAGCUGUAAUAGGCUCUCUUCCCAGAGUAGCAGCAGCCUUCCUACCACCCAGUUCCAAGCAGAACUGCCAGAGCCUUCUGUGGAGAGAACCCCAGCCCAGACUUCAAGAUGCUGACAUUUGGAUGUCUUUCCGGAAACAACAAACCCCCAGCUAGAGCAAUGGUUCUCCACCGGAGGGUGAGGGGGGUUCCCCCCAGACAUUCUGGAGAGAGUCUUGUCGCCGCUGGGCUGGCACGUAGUGGGGAGAGGCCAGGGAUGCUGCUAACACCCUCCAGCGCACAUGACACCCCCACAUGGAUGCACCUGCUCUACACUGUCAAUCGCGCCACACUGGAGGAACUCGGCCUCAGGUGUCUGCGCACUGGCUCACUGCCAAGGGCCCUUCUCUACCUCUUCUGGAUUAGUAGUCGGGCUGUUUCAUGGUACUCAACCUUCUCGAAUGCUAAAGAGUAG